AUGCCUGGUCGCGCGGCACGGCGGUCGAACUCCUUGGGGAUUCUUGUUGGAUCGAUAGCCUGGCACUGGAAACUGCUAGCCGAGAAGACCUCUCUCUGUUUAAGCUUUGUGCAUGGUGUGCUGAUCCGGACGAGGUGCCAGUUGCCAAGCGGCUGUGGGUGCCUGAGCCGCUGGAGCAGAUCCCGGACCCCGCGGCGCGCCAUCCGUCCUUCCUGCAAUUACUGGAGUAUCCUACCAUCAUUCACAUCGGGCGGAUGA
rnacentral:rRNA from 1 species